AAAACCGCUCCCGAUAAACCCUAAAAUUGUUUCUCAACUUCCCACUCACCACCUCCAUCUCUUUCACUCACCUCUUCUUCUAAGGAGUUGUAAGUUCAACUUCACAAAUUGUUUCCCCUUGCCGUUUGUAUUUGUUUUCUAUCUACCUCUUUCCCUUUCGAUUUUCCCAUAUUUUGGGUUCAAAUUGUGUAAUUUGGGAUUUACGUUUCUAUUUGGCUGAAUCGGAGACUCAAGAAAUAUGGAUAGGUCAGAUUUCAGUUAUCAAUUUCGAUAUAUUUUAUUCAAAUUUGGUCUUAUGAAUUUAGGUUUUUUUAAUUGCCUUAAAACAUUUUUGUUUGGUGGAAUGGAUGUUAAUUGAUGAAAAUCAAAGAUAAAUUCGUGGGACUCAGAUCCUGGUUCCAAGCUCCCGUUCAACGUUCAUGAUUUCGGAGAUACCUAAUUCUCUCAUAGGUCAGGUCAGUUCACAAUUACAAUCCCAUUAAUUUAUGUUUUUAUGCCUUUUGUUGGUGAAGCAAUCUAGGUCUAGUCUCACUUUCUUGUUAGAAAAUUUGAAUCCGGUUUUUAUUUUUUGAUUGUCGGGGUUUGAUAAUUCGAGAAUCGCAAUGGUGGUUUAUUGAUCCGUGUGAAUAAAUCUGGAAUUUGAGGUUUUAAUCAACAUUGAAAUAUACGUUUGAGUUUGUUUUAAUUUAUUUUUUACAAUAGUCCAUCCCCUUCUUUAUCAUUGUAGUAUUUUCCAGUACAAGAAUUUUUAUUUUUGUUUCUUUUUUGGUUAUUAUAUGCCAAGGACUUCUUAAUUCAUAAUUUUAGAAUACAGGGUAGAACUUUUUUUUAACUUGUAUCAUUGUAUGUGAUUUUGGGUGCAGCCAUGAGGCAUUUAGUAUUUCCGUUGAACUUCCUUCUAUUUAUGGUUUGGAAACAGAAGUCUAGUUGAAGUUAUAUCAUGUUUGAAUGAUGAUUAUAUUGAGUAAUUCUAAAUUGUUAUUCUAUGUUUUUUACUCCUGGGGUUUGCUGACCAUUUUAGGCACAAAGAAACCUUCACUAAUAUUUUCAGUUCUAAAGUAUCAAGCAUCAAGCAAAUAACUUGACCAUUUUCAACUUUUUGUUUGCUAUGAAUUACUAUAUACAAUUCAAUGCAUUUCGAAUAUACUACCAUGUACUAUUCGUUCUAUUCAGCAGAAAGAACAAGGUUUGGGUUGUACAUAUCUAAUCCCAUAUACUCUACCUUUGGAAUGAGACUCAUGACAUGCAUUGUGUAAGAUAGCCUAAUCGACCAACUUUUUGUUCAUCGAAAAAAAAAUUCAAGAGCUUUUCCAUCUCUCUUCCUCCACACUGCAGUCGAUCUGAGAAACUGAACACGAUCUUGGAGCAUCCAAAUUUCAACGAGCUUCAAUAUUUUCUCAGAUCCGAACCAGAAGAAACUAUGGCAUAUGCUUAUUCUCAACCUUGAAAAGUUCAUUGCUCUAGCCAUUUUAUAGGUUCUCCGAAUUUGGAGGUCCAGUUCACGAGCGACCUGUUGAAGAUUUGGCUUUUGCAGUUGCCCGUUUCAUACAAAGCGGUGGUUCAUACAUUUACUAUUACAUGUACCAUGGUGGAACCAACUUUAAACGAACAGCUGGCGUACCAUUCGUUACAACUAGUUAUGAUUAUGAUGCCCCAAUUGAUGAAUAUGGUAAGAAUUUGAUCUUGCAUAUUUGUGUUUUGUGGAAGUAGUGGUUUUUAAUAACAUUGAAAUCUAAGAUUGAGUUUGUUUAAUUAUUUUUUAUGAUAGUCCUGUUGCGUGUUUCUGUCUUGUUUGGCCUGCUGCUGCACUGCUGUUUCUGCAGGUGUUUGGUGUUGUUUUCAGCUGCACAGGUGCUGCUUCUUGCUGUUGCAGGGUGUGGGUUGUGCUCCUGAUUUGUGCAGGCUGUUCUGCAGGGAGUCCAGGUGCGUGCUGCAGUCAGGUCUACAGGGAGUGUGGUGUUCGAUCGCUGCUGUGUGUAAUCUUAUGUUGCGUACCCUUUUAUUGCAUUUGUUGUGUUUGGUUGUUAGGGAGUGGUCUGUACUCCUCUAACUUUUUCUGCUGUUUCGUUUAGAUACUUUUGUUCAUACCUUUUGGUAUUAAAUUUGUGUUUUGGAGAUAUAUAGCUAGCUAAUUUAAUAGUUUGGACAUGUGUAAACUUAAUUUGACGAUAUGAUAUGACGAUUUGGAGCGAGCUAAUACGUAUUAUUAUA